rnacentral:rRNA from 1 species
GACGAACGUUGGCGGCGUGCUUAAUACAUGCAAGUCAACUGAAGCAGUGGUAGCAAUAUCGCUGUGGAGGUGGCGCACGGGUGAGUAACACGUAGGUAAUCUGCCUUCAGGUCUGGCAUAACUCCGGGAAACCGGGGCUAAUAGCAGAUGAUGCAGCGGCUCGACAUCGAGACAGUUGUUAAAGCUAUGGCGCCUGAAGAUGAGCCUGCGUCUGAUUAGCUAGUUGGCGGGGUAACGGCCCACCAAGGCAACGAUCAGUAGCUGGUCUGAGAGGAUGAUCAGCCACACUGGAACUGAGACACGGUGCAGACUCCUACGGGAGGCAGCAGUAAGGAAUAUUGCUCAAUGGGAGAAAUCCUGAAGCAGCAACGCCGCGUGAGGGACGAAGGGCUUUUGCUUGUAAACCUCUGUAGUGAGAGAAAAAAAUCCCAAUCUUUGGGACAUGAUGGUAUCUCAAAAGUAAGCCCCGGCUAACUACGUG